UACAGAGGUCCCAAGCGUUGUCCGGAAUUAUUGGGCGUAAAGCGCGCGCAGGUGGUUUCUUAAGUCUGAUGUGAAAGCCCACGGCUCAACCGUGGAGGGUCAUUGGAAACUGGGGAACUUGAGUGCAGAAGAGGAAAGUGGAAUUCCAAGUGUAGCGGUGAAAUGCGUAGAGAUUUGGAGGAACACCAGUGGCGAAGGCGACUUUCUGGUCUGUAACUGACACUGAGGCGCGAAAGCGUGGGGAGCGAACAGG
rnacentral:rRNA from 1 species